AAAUAUUUCAUGCCGAAUUCCUCAUUUCUUUGGGGAAACGGGGGAACCACUACCCGGGUGAAUUGAUCUUGCAAGACAGGGAUCAUAGGGAACCUUCAACCGAACCCUCCAGCUAACCUCGUAGGCACCGGAAGGAGACAAG
rnacentral:sRNA from 1 species